UGAGUAAUACAUCGGAACGUGUCUUCUAGUGGGGGAUAACUGCCCGAAAAGGACAGCUAAUACCGCAUGAGACCUGAGGGUGAAAGCGGGGGGAGUCGUAAGACCUCGCGCUGGAAGAGCGGCCGAUGUCCGAUUAGCUAGUUGGUGAGGUAAAGGCUCACCAAGGCGACGAUCGGUAGCUGGUCUGAGAGGACGACCAGCCACACUGGGACUGAGACACGGCCCAG
rnacentral:rRNA from 1 species